rnacentral:rRNA from 1 species
GACGAACGCUGGCGGCGUGCUUAACACAUGCAAGUCGAGCGGUAAGGCCCUUUCGGGGUACGACGAGCGGCGAACGGGUGAGUAACACGUGGGUGACCUGCCCUUACGCUCUGGGAUAAGCCUGGGAAACUGGGUCUAAUACCGGAUAUGACUCCAUGACGCAUGUUGUGGGGUGGAAAGCCUUGUGCGGCUAGGGAUGGGCCUGCGGCCUAUCAGCUUGUUGGUGGGGUGAUGGCCUACCAAGGCGACGACGGGUAGCCGGCCUGAGAGGGCGACCGGCCACACUGGGACUGAGACACGGCCCAGACUCCUACGGGAGGCAGCAGUGGGGAAUCUUGCGCAAUGGGCGAAAGCCUGACGCAGCGACGCCGCGUGGGGAUGACGG